rnacentral:rRNA from 1 species
AACUUCCAACAACGGAUCUCUUGGCUCUGGCAUCAAUGAAAAACACUACGAAAUGCGAUAUGUAGUGUGAAUUGCAAAAUUCACUGAAUCAUCGAAUCUUUGAACGCACAUUGCGCCCGCUAUUAUUCUAUCGGGCAUGCCUGUUCAAUCGUCAUUU